rnacentral:rRNA from 1 species
CCUACGGGAGGCAGCAGUGAGGAAUAUUGGUCAAUGGGCGGGAGCCUGAACCAGCCAAGCCGCGUGAGGGAAGCAGGUACAGCGUAUCGUAAACCUCUUUUGUCAGGGAACAAAGGCGGGGACUCGUCCCCGGAUGCGGGUACCUGAAGAAAAAGCAUAGGCUAACUCCGUGCCAGCAGCCGCGGUAAUACGGAGGAUGCGAGCGUUAUCCGGAUGUAUUGGGUUAAAAGGGGGCGCAGGCGGCCGGUUAAGUCAGCGGUAAAAGCCCGAGGCUCAACCCCGGCGAGCCGUUGAAACUGGCGGGCUGGAGUUGGAGAGAAGUACGCGGAAUGCGCGGUGUAGCGGUGAAAUGCUUAGAUAUCGCGCAGAACCCCGAUUGCGAAGGCAGCGUACCGGCUCCACACUGACGCUGAGGCACGAAAGCGUGGGUAUCGAACAGGAUUAGAUACCCGAGUAGUC